rnacentral:rRNA from 1 species
GUGCCAGCCGCCGCGGUAAUACGAAGGGGGCGAGCGUUGUUCGGAUUUACUGGGCGUAAAGGGCGCGCAGGCGGCGCAAGAAGUCAGGCGUGAAAGCCCCGGGCUUAACCUGGGAGGUGCGUCUGGGACUCUUGUGCUAGAGUUCGGGAGAGGAGCGUGGAAUUCCCAGUGUAGAGGUGAAAUUCGUAGAUAUUGGGAAGAACACCGGUGGCGAAGGCGGCGCUCUGGACCGAGACUGACGCUGAGGCGCGAAAGCGUGGGGAGCAAACAGGAUUAGAAACCCCCGUAGUCC